AUUGAACGCUGGCGGCAGGCCUAACACAUGCAAGUCGAGCGAGCGGCGGACGGGUGAGUAAUGUAUGGGAAACUGCCUGAUGGAGGGGGAUAACUACUGGAAACGGUAGCUAAUACCGCAUACCAUCAGAUGUGCCCAGAUGGGAUUAGCUAGUAGGUGGGGUAACGGCUCACCUAGGCUAAGAUCCCUAGCUGGUACGAGAGGAUGAACAGCCCCCCUGGAACUGAGACACGGUCCAGAUUCCGACGCGAGGCAGCAGUGGGGAAUAUUGCACAAUGGGCGCAAGCCUGAUGCAGCCAUGCCGCGUGUGUGAAGAAGGCCUUCGGGUUGUAAAGCACUUUCAGCGGGGAGGCGUUACCCGCAGAAGAAGCACCGGCUAACUCCGUGCCAGCAGCCGCGGUAAUAC
rnacentral:rRNA from 1 species